CAGCAGCCGCGGGAAUACGUAGGUGGCAAGCGUUGUCCGGAAUUAUUGGGCGUAAAGGGCACGCAGGCGGUUUCUUAAGUCUGAUGUGAAAGCCCCCGGCUCAACCGGGGAGGGUCAUUGGAAACUGGGAAACUUGAGUGCAGAAGAGGAGAGUGGAAUUCCACGUGUAGCGGUGAAAUGCGUAGAGAUGUGGAGGAACACCAGUGGCGAAGGCGACUCUCUGGUCUGUAACUGACGCUGAGGAGCGAAAGCGUGGGGAGCGAGCAGGAUUAGAUACCCCGGUAGUCCCUGUCUCUUAUAA
rnacentral:rRNA from 1 species